rnacentral:lncRNA from 1 species
UGGUGACGUUUGGCACUUUCUCACUCACCCACAAAACUAGACGAGUUCCAACUAUGCAUACUAACCUCCUCUGGGAGUAGCAGGAUGUUUCUUCUAGUUCAAUUUUCUUUGGCAAAAUCAUAAUCUUGAAGAUAAUGAUACCAAGUUAGUAAUUCUUUUUUGAUGAUAUCUGUGAAUGCCAUGAACAAGAACCAGGAGCUGCCUGGUUUCAUUCUAUUGUAAGUUGAAGGAAAAAGAACAAUAGCUAACAUUAAUUAAAUUUAAAUUUAUCCAAAUAAAUGUUGGUGUUAGAACUUGUUUUGAUUAUGCUUAAGUACAUACAUACAAAAUGCUGACUAAAUUCGGCUAAACCAUUUUAUUUUAUUUUUUUAAGAUUUUAUUUAUUUAUUUGACAGAGAGACAGCCAGCCAGCGAGAGAGGGAACACAAGCAGAGGGAGCGGGAGAGGAAGAAGCGGGCUUCCAGCGGAGCAUGGAGCCCGACACUGGGCUCGAUCCCAGGACCCUGGAACCAAGCCCUGAGCCAAAGGCAGAUGCUUAAUUACUGAGCCACCAAGGCGCCCCUUGGCUAAACCAUUUUAAUAACAUUAUCUAAUAAUGUUAAGAGGACGAUGCUUUUAAAUCAGAUGUCACCACAUUUCUAAGGUUCAUUUUGCUUGUAAAAAAUAAGAUUAGUGCUUGGCAGUUAUAUGUGGAUGACAACGAGGAUUUUCAGGGUUCUCUUUGGCCACAAGCAUCACAGCCUCAGGCAGAAGCCAUGGACCUCCUUAUUCGUCAGGCCAAGCAAGCCUGGAAAACUUUCCACCAAACCAGCCGGAGGCACUCUGGGACUUUGGUGGAGCCAAGAGGGUACAUCAGGCCUCAGUGGCCAUAGAGCGAGGCCAUCUGGUCCUGAAUGAAGCACCCACCGGCGCUGGGAAAACUGAUACUAGCCGUAACUUUCAUUAGCAACACUCCUGCAUGCCAAAAGCCCCUGCAGAACCGUAGUAUUCAUUCUACUCUGUCGUUACAGAUAAUAUAAU